rnacentral:lncRNA from 1 species
GAAGAUGAAAUUGGAAUCAUGGAGAAUUUUGGGAGUUUUGGAGGAAUCAUUAUAUGAAUGAAAAGGGAAACAAUCUUUUUUUUUUUUUUUUGAGGAUUUUGGAUAUGGUGGUGUCUACUGGACCUUGAAGGAGAAGAGAUGUACUAAGAAUAGUUAACAGAGGGGAGGGGAAAAGAGAACACCCUUUCAGCACUUAAUUUUAUUUCAUUUCCAACUUUGCCCUUAAUUUAAAACAUUUUUCCACUAUUUAUCUUUC